AUCGCUUCUCGGCCUUUUGGCUAAAAUCAAGUGUAAUAUUUGUUCUUAUCAGUUUAAUAUCUGAUACGUCCUGGAUUAGAGGAUUUUCCAUUAAACGGAUUUUUCGGCGCUGGAGUUGGAUCCGGAGCUUGCUUCCCUCCGCUCCGCGCAUCGUCUUGGUAUUGCAGUACCUGUACGAACGGUGCACCCCCC